GACGAACGCUGGCGGCGUGCCUAAUACAUGCAAGUCGAACGCAUUUUCUUUCACCGUAGCUUGCUACACCGAAAGAAAAUGAGUGGCGAACGGGUGAGUAACACGUGGGUAACCUGCCCAUCAGCGGGGGAUAACACUUGGAAACAGGUGCUAAUACCGCAUAAUUCCAUUUACUGCAUGGUAGAUGGAUGAAAGGCGCUUUUGCGUCACUGAUGGAUGGACCCGCGGUGCAUUAGCUAGUUGGUGGGGUAACGGCCUACCAAGGCUGCGAUGCAUAGCCGACCUGAGAGGGUGAUCGGCCACACUGGGACUGAGACACGGCCCAGACUCCUACGGGAGGCAGCAGUAGGGAAUCUUCGGCAAUGGACGCAAGUCUGACCGAGCAACGCCGCGUGAGUGAAGAAGGUUUUCGGAUCGUAAAACUCUGUUGCUAGAAAAGAACAAGGAUGAGAGUGGAAAGUUCAUCCCUUGACGGUAUCUAACCAGAAAGCCACGGCUAACUACGUG
rnacentral:rRNA from 1 species